rnacentral:rRNA from 1 species
AGAGUUUGAUCCUGGCUCAGAUUGAACGCUGGCGGCAGGCCUAACACAUGCAAGUCGAGCGGUUGAGGUAGCUUGCUACCGAUGCAGCGGCGGACGGGUGAGUAAUACAUGGGAAUCUGCCCUCAGGCGGGGGACAACGUUUCGAAAGGAAUGCUAAUACCGCAUGAGACCACGGCCACCUCGGUGGCUGCGGCAAAAGCUGGCCUCUUCAUGAAAGCUAGCGCCUGAGGAUGAGCCUGCGGCCCAUCAGCUAGUUGGUAGGGUAACGGCCUACCAAGGUUAGGACGGGUAGCUGGUUUGAGAGGAUGAUCAGCCACACUGGCACUGAAACACGGGCCAGACUCCUACGGGAGGCAGCAGUGGGGAAUAUUGGACAAUGGGCGCAAGCCUGAUCCAGCGACGCCGCGUGGGUGAUGAAGGCCUUCGGGUUGUAAAGCCCUGUGGGGAGGAAAGAAAAAGGCGUGCUCGAACAGGGCACGUCGUUGACGGUACCUCCUUAGCAAGCACCGGCUAACUCUGUGCCAGCAGCCGCGGUAAGACAGAGGGUGCAAACGUUGCUCGGAAUUACUGGGCGUAAAGCGCGUGUAGGCGGGCAAGCAAGUCAGACGUGAAAGCCCUGGGCUCAACCUAGGAACUGCAUUUGAAACUACUUGUCUUGAGUGAUGGAGAGGGAAGUGGAAUUCCUGGUGUAGAAGUGAAAUUCGUAGAUAUCAGGAGGAACACCGGUGGCGAAGGCGGCUUCCUGGACAUUGACUGACGCUGAAACGCGAAAGCGUGGGGAGCAAACAGGAUUAGAUACCCUGGUAGUCC